rnacentral:rRNA from 1 species
AAACGAUGCCAACCAGUAAUCCGUCUGAGUUCCUUAAAUGACUCGACGGGCGACUUCCGGGAAACCAAAGUUUUUAGGUUCCAGGGGAAGUAUGUUUGCAAAGAUGAAACUUAAAGAAAUUGACGGAAGGGCACCACCAGGAGUGGAGCCUGCGGCUUAAUUUGACUCAACACGGGAAAACUCACCCGGCCCGGACACUGGAAGGAUUGACAGAUUGAGAGCUCUUUCUUGAUUCAGUGGGUGGUGGUGCAUGGCCGUUCUUAGUUGGUGGAGCGAUUUGUCUGGUUAAUUCCGAUAACGAACGAGACUCUAGCCUACUAAAUAGAUCGUCGGCUUACAAACGCUGAUGAGACUUCUUAGAGGGACAGGCGGCGAUUCAGCCGCACGAAACAGAGCAAUAACAGGUCUGUGAUGCCCUUAGAUGUCCGGGGCCGCACGCGCGCUACACUGAAGUGAUCAGCGUGCAUUUUCAGCCUACUCUGCCAAGAGUGGGAAACCCAAUGAACCUUCUUCGUGAUUGGGAUAGGAGAUUGUAAUUAUUCUCCUUGAACGAGGAAUUCCCAGUAAGCGCGAGUCAUAAGCUCGCGUUGAUUACGUCCCUGCCCUUUGUACACACCGCCCGUCGCUACUACCGAUUGAAUGUUUUAGUGAGGUCUUCAGACUGGCCGGCGCAGCUGCUCUCGUAGUAGCAGCGCUGUGUUUGGGAAGAUGCCCAAACUUG